GCUGGGUGUGGUGGCACAUGCCUAUAAUCCCAGCCUCUUGGGAGGCUGAGGCAGGAGGAUCACGAGUUCAAAGCCAGCCUCAGCAAAAGCGAGGCACUAAGCAACUCAGUGAGGCCCUGUCUCUA
rnacentral:sRNA from 1 species